rnacentral:piRNA from 1 species
UCAGAUACUUCAGCUGUCCUUGAUUUGCCA